UGCCUAAUACAUGCAAGUCGAACGCACUCUCGUUUUAGAUUUGAAGGAGCUUUGCUCCUGAUUGAUAAACAUUUGAGUGAGUGGCGGACGGGUGAGUAACACGUGGGUAACCUGCCCUAAAGUGGGGGAUAACAUUUGGAAACAGAUGCUAAUACCGCAUAAAACCUAACACCGCAUGGUGUAGGGUUGAAAGAUGGUUUCGGCUAUCACUUUAGGAUGGACCCGCGGUGCAUUAGUUAGUUGGUGAGGUAAAGGCUCACCAAGACCGUGAUGCAUAGCCGACCUGAGAGGGUAAUCGGCCACACUGGGACUGAGACACGGCCCAGACUCCUACGGGAGGCAGCAGUAGGGAAUCUUCCACAAUGGACGAAAGUCUGAUGGAGCAACGCCGCGUGAGUGAAGAAGGUUUUCGGAUCGUAAAACUCUGUUGUUGGAGAAGAAUGUAUCUGAUAGUAACUGAUCAGGUAGUGACGGUAUCCAACCAGAAAGCCACGGCUAACUACGUG
rnacentral:rRNA from 1 species